GGAGACUCGCAAAGCUGGCGUGCUUAUCCGGUUUGAACCCGGUGAUGUCCUCAUGGACGUGGGAGUUCGACCCUCUCAGUCUCCGCCA
rnacentral:tRNA from 1 species